AUUGAACGCUGGCGGCAUGCCUUACACAUGCAAGUCGAACGGUAACGGGCCUUCGGGUGCCGACGAGUGGCGAACGGGUGAGUAAUACAUCGGAACGUGCCCGAUCGUGGGGGAUAACGAGGCGAAAGCUUUGCUAAUAACGCAUACGAUCUACGGAUGAAAGCAGGGGACCGCAAGGCCUUGCGCGGACGGAGCGGCCGAUGGCAGAUUAGGUAGUUGGUGGGAUAAAAGCUUACCAAGCCGACGAUCUGUAGCUGGUCUGAGAGGAUGAUCAGCCACACUGGGACUGAGACACGGCCCAGACUCCUACGGGAGGCAGCAGUGGGGAAUUUUGGACAAUGGGCGCAAGCCUGAUCCAGCCAUGCCGCGUGCAGGAUGAAGGCCUUCGGGUUGUAAACUGCUUUUGUACGGAACGAAAAGCCUUCUUUUAAUACAGGAGGGUCAUGACGGUACCGUAAGAAUAAGCACCGGCUAACUACGUG
rnacentral:rRNA from 1 species